CCUACGGGUGGCAGCAGUGAGGAAUAUUGGUCAAUGGGCGCGAGCCUGAACCAGCCAAGUAGCGUGAGGGAUGACUGUCCUACGGGUUGUAAACCUCUUUUAUAAAGGAAUAAAGUGAGGCACGUGUGCCUGUUUGUAUGUACUUUAUGAAAAAGGAUCGGCUAACUCCGUGCCAGCAGCCGCGGUAAUACGGAGGAUCCGAGCGUUAUCCGGAUUUAUUGGGUUUAAAGGGAGCGGAGAUGGGUUGUUAAGUCCGUUGUGAAAGUUUGCGGCUCAACCGUAGAAUUGCAAUUGAUACUGGCAGCCUUGAGUACAGUUGAGGUAGGCGGAAUUCGUGGUGUAGCGGUGAAAUGCUUAGAUAUCACGAAGAACCCCGAUUGCGAAGGCAGCUUACUAACCUGCCACUGACAUUGAUGCUCGAAAGUGUGGGUAUCAAACAGGAUUAGAUACCCCGGUAGUC
rnacentral:rRNA from 1 species